rnacentral:rRNA from 1 species
GAUGAACGCUGGCGGCGUGCCUAAUACAUGCAAGUCGAGCGAACAGACGAGGAGCUUGCUCCUCUGACGUUAGCGGCGGACGGGUGAGUAACACGUGGAUAACCUACCUAUCAGACUGGGAUAACUUCGGGAAACCGGAGCUAAUACCGGAUAAUAUAUUGAACCGCAUGGUUCAAUAGUGAAAGACGGCUUUGCUGUCACUUAUAGAUGGAUCCGGGCCGCAUUAGCUAGUUGGUAAGGUAACGGCUUACCAAGGCGACGAGGCGUAGCCGACCUGAGAGAGGGGUAGGCCACCUGAGAAGGUGACCAGGGACCUGGGUACUACGGGAGGGAGCAGUAGGGUACGUGCGGCAGCAGUGGGAAACAUUGCAGAACGGGGCGAAGUGAGAUGUGAAAGUGUUGGGAGCGUGAAACUCUGUUAUGGGGGAAAAACAGAUGUGUAAGGAACUGUACACGUCGUGACGGUACCUGGUCAAGAAGCAACGGCUAACUACGUG